UCCGGUGAUUAUGGAGAGAGGGUCCCACCCAGUUCCAUGCCGAACCUGGCAGUUAAGCCUCUCAUCGCCGAUGGUACUACGGAGGGUAUCCGUGGGAGAGUAGGUCGUUGCCGGAA
rfam:Synergistes sp. 3_1_syn1 genomic scaffold supercont1.8, whole genome shotgun sequence.